rnacentral:lncRNA from 1 species
AUAUUUUUAUAAUUAUGAAUAUAAAUCAAAAUUUUAAACAGCCAGCAAGAUUUAUAAAACAUAAAAAUGCUAAUGCUGGGUAUAAAAAAAAAUUUGAUAAGCAAAAAGUUAAUAAUAGAAAACAAGGAAUAGGAAAAAGAAAAGAAAAUGUAAUAUUUAAUGAUUAUUCAAUUACAAAAGUUAAUAAAGACCCAUUAACAAAAAAUACACAAUUUGAUAAUUACCAAAGCGAUAACGCCAUUGACAAUAACUAUAGUAAUAUCAACAAUAUGCAUGAUGAAAGAGCAUAUAAAAAUAAUUAUAUUUAUUAUAAUAGCGAUAGUAGUAAUCAUGAUAAAAAUAGCUACGACAGUAACAAACCAUUAUUAAAUAAUAACAUAGUAGAAAAUGAUAAUACUAAUACUAUUAAAAAUGACAUUACCAAUGAUGCUGAAAAUGACAUUACCAAUGAUGUUGAAAAUGACACGAAUAAUACAAUGACAUAUGGUAAGUCAGUUGUAAAUUAUGUCGAUUACAUUCAAAUGGUUAAAAAAAAAGAACAAAACGUAAAUGUAAACGGAGUUGAGCCUAUAUUAUGUGAAUAUGAUACCGAGGGUGAUAUAUAUUAUAAUGUUAAAAGUAAAAAUGAAACAAAUGUUAUAUACAACUUUUUUUUAUUAUUUUGUCCAUUGGCUGUAACUAGUAUAAGAAACAAAUACUGUGUUAUUAAUGCUGAUGAUCAUAAAUUAUUAUUCGAAAAAAAAUUAAAAAAUGUUAAUGACUUAAUUAAUAUAACAAUAGAUAACAAAGAAAAAAAUGCUUUAGAAAGAACGAAAAAAAAUAUUCAAAAUAAAUUAGAUAAUGUAAGGUUAGAUAUUUUAUUUUUUACAUUAUUAAGUUUAAAAGAUAGUAUAAUAAAUAAAAAAAAAAAAAUACAAAUUUAUAUUCAUACAAUUAACGGGCUAGUAAUAUAUGUGUCUCCUACUUUUAGAGUACCAAGGAAUUUUAUGCUUUUUAAAAAAGUUAUGUUAAAUUUAAUUACACAUGGUCAAGUAACUGAUGAACAUGGAGCAACUCUUUUACAAAUUCAACCUUAUGCGAUUAAACAUUAUGUAGGAUCGUCUACGUAAGAACAAAAAAAAAAAAAAAAAAAAAAAAAAAUUGCAUAGAAAUAUGAACAAAAGCUGUACAUUACAUACAUUAUAAUAGUGCAUCAUAGCUUGGUAUAACAA